rnacentral:rRNA from 1 species
AUACGUAGGUGGCAAGCGUUGUCCGGAUUUAUUGGGCGUAAAGGGAACGCAGGCGGUCUUUUAAGUCUGAUGUGAAAGCCCUCGGCUUAACCGAAGUAGUGCAUUGGAAACUGGAAGACUUGAGUGCAGAAGAGGAGAGUGGAACUCCAUGUGUAGCGGUGAAAUGCGUAGAUAUAUGGAAGAACACCAGUGGCGAAAACGGCUCUCUGGUCGUUAUGGGAGCCGGCGGUCCGAUAGCGUGGAUAGCAAACAGGUGUAGAUACCCUGGUAGUCCACGCCGUAAACGAUGAGUGCUAAGUUUUGGAGGGUUUCCGCCCUUCAGUGCUGCAGCUAACGCAUUAAGCACUCCGCCUGGGGAGUACGGUCGCAAGACUGAAACUUAAAGGAAUUGACAGGG